rnacentral:rRNA from 1 species
GAUGAACGCUGGCGGCGUGCCUAAUACAUGCAAGUCGAGCGAACGGACGAGAAGCUUGCUUCUCUGAUGUUAGCGGCGGACGGGUGAGUAACACGUGGAUAACCUACCUAUAAGACUGGGAUAACUUCGGGAAACCGGAGCUAAUACCGGAUAAUAUUUUGAACCGCAUGGUUCAAAAGUGAAAAACGGUCUUGCUGUCACUUAUAGAUGGAUACGCGCUGCAUUAGCUAGUUGGUAAGGUAACGGCUUACCAAGGCAACGAUGCAUAGCCGACCUGAGAGGGUGAUCGGCCACACUGGAACUGAGACACGGUCCAGACUCCUACGGGAGGCAGCAGUAGGGAAUCUUCCGCAAUGGGCGAAAGCCUGACGGAGCAACGCCGCGUGAGUGAUGAAGGUCUUCGGAUCGUAAAACUCUGUUAUUAGGGAAGAACAUAUGUGUAAGUAACUGUGCACAUCUUGACGGUACCUAAUCAGAAAGCCACGGCUAACUACGUG